GUACGGCGAGUGAAGCGGCAACAGCUCAAAUUUGAAAUCUGGCGUCUUUGGCGUCCGAGUUGUAAUUUGCAGAGGGCGCUUUGGCAUUGGCAGCGGUCCAAGUUCCUUGGAACAGGACGUCACAGAGGGUGAGAAUCCCGUACGUGGUCGCUAGCCUUUACCGUGUAAAGCCCCUUCGACGAGUCGAGUUGUUUGGGAAUGCAGCUCUAAAUGGGAGGUAAAUUUCUUCUAAAGCUAAAUACUGGCCAGAGACCGAUAGCGCACAAGUAGAGUGAUCGAAAGAUGAAAAGCACUUUGGAAAGAGAGUUAAAAAGCACGUGAAAUUGUUGAAAGGGAAGCGCUUGCAGCCAGACUUGCCUGUAGUUGCUCAUCCGGGUUUUUACCCGGUGCACUCUUCUACGGGCAGGCCAGCAUCAGUUUGGGCGGUUGGAUAAAGGUCUCUGUCAUGUACCUCCUCUCGGGGAGAACUUAUAGGGGAGACGACAUGCAACCAGCCCGGACUGAGGUCCGCGCAUCUGCUAGGAUGCUGGCGUAAUGGCUGUAAGCGGCCCGUCU
rnacentral:rRNA from 1 species